CGGCGCGGCGCCCACGCCGUUCGCGCUCACCCCCCACAAGCCCCGGCGCCGCAGCCAUGGCGGACGGCGAGGAGGAGGAGGAGGCGCACGAUUGGAGGCGAUCGCGGGCGGCCUCGCCAAGCGCCCGCGGCAGCCGGAGGUGACUCGCCACCGCCUCGAUCCUCUCCCUUGUAUGUCUUAGCCUCGGGCGAGCGCGUGGGGGUGACGCCUAGCAGCUGCGGUAUGGGGGUCUGUGAUGUCCGUGGGGUGUUCGUCGAAAUGCGCCGUAGGAACUUCGCGUCCUCGUCGCGCCUCCUUUAGGGGGAUCUCGGUCUCGGGGUGUGUUAGGGGGCUGACUCAUGUUUUCGGUCCCGGUGCGAGCAUGUCGGCGACGCUGCUGCAAGGGAUAGUAUUAUAGAUGCUGUAGCGGUAUGAAGAACCUUAUAGGAUCGCACUUGCGCUUAGUGCGGCCUUGAGAUCUGUGAUGGGGAAUUGGUAGUUUAGGGGCUUCAGUAAAAUAUACCGUGGACACUUUUGUGAUCUAAUGAAUCAGUUCUUAGAAAUAUCUGCAGGUGCUGUGCUUACAUGUAUAAGAUGCAAACAAAAUGUUUCACUCUUUGUUCAUUCACAGAGCUGUGAUGGUGAAAUCAAACGUAACUUUCAACAUGCAUCAGGAAAAGAAAAACAACUUAUUUUUCUUCAUAGUAAAAUGAGUUAAAGUUAAUUAAAUGGACCAUAUAGUAUGUCAGUUUUUUCCCUUUUAUGUUGGGGCCAUCUGUGAGGUGUCAAACUUGUUCUGUACUUCUGUUAAAUCAGAAAACUACUCUAGAACAAAUAGUCGAAGGUUUUGACUAAACUCAAUAUACUGUUCAUAUCAGCCAAUCUGUUGGAGGAAUUUUUGUAGAGUGUACCCUUAUUUUAAGGGGAGUUUCUAUCCAGUGAUUAGCAAGAGGAUAGCUGUUUAAUAUUUUUCAAACCACCUGAUUUGGUCCUCAGGCCAAAUGGGCCGUGGCCCAGGAACUGGAUAUUAAAGCCCAAAUUGCUUUACUUAAUUUUACCAUAGUAUUUUUAUGUAUGGACCAAUGGAGUGUGGGCUGGCCAUGGCUUGAUGGUGGGUCCAUCCCUGCCUGAGUAACCUUUAUAUCAUUUGUUCUAUAUAAUUGUGUUGGAUGAACUACGAUUGGGCCUUAUCUGACUAUAUCAGAAUUAUAGUUGUCUGCUUAUGUAGUUUUCCAACAGAAUCAAUCUUGCUGGGACAAAGAUCAAUUAACUUCAGUUUCUUGCUGCUCAUAUUUUAAUUACUCUAAAAAACAUGAAGAGAAAAGUGAUGGCAUUCUACUAUGCUAGUUGGAGGUUGGAAGUACAAAGGAGAUUUUACCAAAAUUGGCAACAUUUUACCAGAUUCAUCAAUUCGAG
rnacentral:lncRNA from 1 species